rnacentral:rRNA from 1 species
CAGGACGAACGCUGGCGGCGUGCCUAAUACAUGCAAGUCGAACGAACUCUGGUAUUGAUUGGUGCUUGCAUCAUGAUUUACAUUUGAGUGAGUGGCGAACUGGUGAGUAACACGUGGGAAACCUGCCCAGAAGCGGGGGAUAACACCUGGAAACAGAUGCUAAUACCGCAUAACAACUUGGACCGCAUGGUCCGAGUUUGAAAGAUGGCUUCGGCUAUCACUUUUGGAUGGUCCCGCGGCGUAUUAGCUAGAUGGUGAGGUAACGGCUCACCAUGGCAAUGAUACGUAGCCGACCUGAGAGGGUAAUCGGCCACAUUGGGACUGAGACACGGCCCAAACUCCUACGGGAGGCAGCAGUAGGGAAUCUUCCACAAUGGACGAAAGUCUGAUGGAGCAACGCCGCGUGAGUGAAGAAGGGUUUCGGCUCGUAAAACUCUGUUGUUAAAGAAGAACAUAUCUGAGAGUAACUGUUCAGGUAUUGACGGUAUUUAACCAGAAAGCCACGGCUAACUACGUGCCAGCAGCCGCGGUAAUACGUAGGUGGCAAGCGUUGUCCGGAUUUAUUGGGCGUAAAGCGAGCGCAGGCGGUUUUUUAAGUCUGAUGUGAAAGCCUUCGGCUCAACCGAAGAAGUGCAUCGGAAACUGGGAAACUUGAGUGCAGAAGAGGACAGUGGAACUCCAUGUGUAGCGGUGAAAUGCGUAGAUAUAUGGAAGAACACCAGUGGCGAAGGCGGCUGUCUGGUCUGUAACUGACGCUGAGGCUCGAAAGUAUGGGUAGCAAACAGGAUUAGAUACCCUGGUAGUCCAUACCGUAAACGAUGAAUGCUAAGUGUUGGAGGGUUUCCGCCCUUCAGUGCUGCAGCUAACGCAUUAAGCAUUCCGCCUGGGGAGUACGGCCGCAAGGCUGAAACUCAAAGGAAUUGACGGGGGCCCGCACAAGCGGUGGAGCAUGUGGUUUAAUUCGAAGCUACGCGAAGAACCUUACCAGGUCUUGACAUACUAUGCAAAUCUAAGAGAUUAGACGUUCCCUUCGGGGACAUGGAUACAGGUGGUGCAUGGUUGUCGUCAGCUCGUGUCGUGAGAUGUUGGGUUAAGUCCCGCAACGAGCGCAACCCUUAUUAUCAGUUGCCAGCAUUAAGUUGGGCACUCUGGUGAGACUGCCGGUGACAAACCGGAGGAAGGUGGGGGAUGACGUCAAAUCAUCAUGCCCCUUAUGACCUGGGCUACACACGUGCUACAAUGGAUGGUACAACGAGUUGCGAACUCGCGAGAGUAAGCUAAUCUCUUAAAGCCAUUCUCAGUUCGGAUUGUAGGCUGCAACUCGCCUACAUGAAGUCGGAAUCGCUAGUAAUCGCGGAUCAGCAUGCCGCGGUGAAUACGUUCCCGGGCCUUGUACACACCGCCCGUCACACCAUGAAGAGUUUGUAACACCCAAAGUCGGUGGGGUAACCUUUUAGGAACCAGCCGCCUAAGGUGGGACAGAUGAUUAGGGUGA